GUUAGGCCUGGCCCUGCCCACCAUCUGUAGUCCACAGUGCUCAGAUACCUCAGGCCAAACAAGUACCUGGGGGGCGACAGGGCCCCCCUGCUAGCAGACAGGUGCCUGAAGACUAGUGAGCCCACACCUGCAUCUGGACACAGACCGAGACAGAGCCCAGCACCCCAGACAGCCAUAUAUCUACAAAUGUGACCCUGGGAGGUGGGGACUUCGCGAGAGUGUUUCCUACGGGUGGUUCACAGAUAUCUUCAAGCCCCGCUGUGCUUCAUGACUACAUUUUUAGGCGCCAUCCUGGAUGUGUUGCUGUCCAUGGUGCUGAAGCCUCAUUGAGCCAAAGAGUCAAUUAAGUUUUGGUGCCUGGAAGCAAAGGGUGGGGCUGGAUGACCCAUGAGAUCUUCCUCCCCAGAAGGACUCUUGGACUAAGCCAUAGGAAGAUCCUAAAUUAGAGGAGAGAGCUGUUGGGGAGUGAAGAAAGAAGACUUAACCUGCCAAAGCCUCAGUAAGGCUAGAAAAACAAGACUCUUGCCAGAAAAGGUUUUUCUGUCCUGAGGGAAUUGCAUAACAGCAGGGUAAUUUAUAUAUACAAAUAUAUGUAUGAAUAUAUGUGCGUACACACACACACACACACACAUAUAUGCUUUGUGAUAUUUGUGCAGACUUAACACACAGCAUGAAAGCUUAAAGCCAACAAGCGAAAUUUAGUUAGCACGGCAUCCCUUAUUCUCAAUUUAUUAUUUCACCAGGGACUCAUGCAGGCUGCAGGCCUGGAGAAGUGGUGGCGGAGAGAGAGCCAGCAACCCAGGCACCAGUUGAAUUAUGUGUCACAAUUUAUAAACCAUUACGUG
ensembl:lncRNA